GGGACUGUUUGGUUUCUACAUACUAUGAUGUAUGUAUAAGUUCGAGAGGAUGAAGGUAAACUAUACUUCAUUAAUCCUAGUUUUUAAUAAAUGCAAAACAUCAAAUAGUUUGUUUUUCUAAAAAUUUAGUGAUAGCUUAAAUAUAUAAGUCAUAUUUUUAGUAUGUCAUUCUAUGAUUCUUGUACAUAUUGUGAUAUUUGAAAUUCAGGUUGCUCUUAAAUAUAUUCAUAUUUAAGUUAAGUUGUUCGAUUUUUUUGAUAUAUUCCUCUUAUCUCUAUUUAAUUUUGAAUUGAGUAAACUUUACAUACAGAAUUGUUAUGGACGUGGGUUCGAAUCCCACCAGUUCCA
rnacentral:tmRNA from 1 species